rnacentral:rRNA from 1 species
UACGGGGGGAGCAAGCGUUGUUCGGAUUUACUGGGCGUAAAGGGCGCGUAGGCGGCGCAACAAGUCACUUGUGAAAUCUCCGGGCUUAACCCGGAGCGGCCAAGUGAUACUGUCGUGCUAGAGUGCGGAAGGGGCUACUGGAAUUCUCGGUGUAGCGGUGAAAUGCGCAGAUAUCAGGAGGAACACCAAUGGCGAAGGCAGCUCGCUGGGACGUGACUGACGCUGAGACGCGAAAGCGUGGGGAGCAAACAGG